rnacentral:rRNA from 2 species
AUUUGAUCUGAAAUCAGGCGGGAUUACCCGCUGAACUU